AUGAGAUAUGAGGAUGCUUAUCCAUCUAUUUUGUAAUAGAAUCAUGCAUGACUCAAAACAUACACUACCAUCUGAUCUCAU